rnacentral:rRNA from 1 species
CUCAGACAUGCAAGUCGAACGAUUAAAGCUCUCUUCGGAGAGUGCAUAAAGUGGCGCACGGGUGAGUAACACGUAAGUAAUCUACCCUCGGGUGGGGAAUAACAUCGGGAAACCGAUGCUAAUACCGCAUAAUGCAGCGGCACCGCAAGGUGACAGUUGUUAAAGGAGUAAUUCGCCUGAGGAGGAGCUUGCGGCAGAUUAGCUAGUUGGUAAGGUAAUGGCUUACCAAGGCUACGAUCUGUAACCGGUCUAAGAGGACGGUCGGUCACACUGACACUGAAUAACGGGUCAGACUCCUACGGGAGGCAGCAGUCGGGAAUUUUGGGCAAUGGGCGAAAGCCUGACCCAGCAACGCCGCGUGAAGGAUGAAGUAUUUCGGUAUGUAAACUUCGUAAGAAUAGGAAGAAUAAAUGACGGUACUAUUUGUAAGGUCCGGCUAACUACGUGCCAGCAGCCGCGGUAAUACGUAGGGACCAAGCGUUGUUCGGAUUUACUGGGCGUAAAGGGCGCGUAGGCGGCAAUUCAAGUCAGCUGUGAAAUCUCCGGGCUUAACUCGGAACGGUCAGCUGAUACUGCUUUGCUAGAGUGCAGAAGGGGCAAUCGGAAUUCUUGGUGUAGCGGUGAAAUGCGUAGAUAUCAAGAGGAACACCUGAGGUGAAGACGGGUUGCUGGGCUGACACUGACGCUGAGGCGCGAAAGCUGGGGGAGCAAACGGGAUUAGAUACCCCGGUAGUCCUAGCCCUAAACGAUGAAUACUUGGUGUCUGGAGUUUUUAUCCUCCGGGUGCCGUCGCUAACGUUUUAAGUAUUCCGCCUGGGGAGUACGCACGCAAGUGUGAAACUCAAAGGAAUUGACGGGGACCCGCACAAGCGGUGGAGCAUGUGGUUU